rnacentral:snoRNA from 1 species
AAUAUUCUUAGUUUGAUGAUAUUUGUGAGUAGGAAUCUCAAUGAGCUGUAAUCAUUCGUUGCAGUGAAAUUAAAUUUCUACUAGUAACCGUAAUGCA